rnacentral:misc_RNA from 1 species
AAUAAAAAAAAAAAAAAAAAAAAUAUAUAUAUAUAUAUAUAUAUAAUUUUGGGUAGGUGAAUGAUAAAAUAAAUAUUUUAAUGAGAACAAAUGGAUAAUUAAUUGGGUUACUGGGAUAUGGGAUUCGGAUACAGAAUGGUCCCAAGGAUACAAUCUGCCAAUUGCAUAUAGUAUCACAAAUGUGCAUCACAGCAAUGUAAGCUUGUCACGAAGUGGAUGAAAGUGACAAACUCGGAAAAAGCUGGGUUUCAUAGCAGAUGCAAACCUUCUUCGGCCGCACCACCUCCGUUAUCUUCCUGGGCCUAGGACGGCCCAUUUGUCAUGUAAGAGCUCAGGUGAGCGGCAGCUUCCCCGAGCGUGCGCAUGACAGAAAUGCAAUUCUAUGCUAAAUCUGGGGAAUCCUCCACGAUAGCAAAAGGACUAAUGGCCCUUCCUGCUGAGAAUUUAUCAUGUCACCAUGCAGAGGUGAUUUGUGUGGUCCUUGCAAAAUAUACUUCAUGCGAUUGACUGUUCUGAUAUGCUACAUAAGAGAUGUACUUUUCCAGCAUAACAACAUAAACCUAAGACAUAAAAAUUUGAACUUCAUUUGUCAACCUCCAUUGCCUGGGCAGCUUUGGCUUUUGUCAAUGUCAAUUUGGUCUUCACCUUUUUCUUCCUAAGCAAAAAUCCACUUGAACCCCUCUUUGUAUUGUUUUUACCGACAACCUUAACAACAAUUUCAUCUUAUUCUUCUUUUCUUGGUGCUUCUUCUCUUUCUUUUCUUUCAGUUCCUUCCCUUCUAUAAUUAACCAGAAAAACAACAACAGUAACUACAAAUUCAAAGAGCUAAACGAAACAUAUAAUAAUACAAACACAGAAAGAGAUAGAAGAAGAUGCAAUUAUUUUGAAGCUAGAACUCAUGCUGUCUCUUUCUGCGAGCUAAAUUGUUCUUAGACAUUCCGAUUGCUCUAUUAUCAAUAAUCGGUUUCGGCAUCGACUCUGGCUCAAUUUGUAUGUUUUGGGAACGCUUAAACCCGAACCUUACAGAAAGAGAACUCUUUUAUUUCACCACUAAGAAUUGC